CAUUUUUCCUUCCUGAUUUGUCCUCUCUCCCUACCUUUUUCCCCCUUCAGUCUUCCCUUCUCCCCUCUCUGCCCCAUCACCAUCGUUCACACCCCUGUGCUCUUACUCCCCUUUGCUCCUCUCUACUUCAUUUUUCAACCAAGGUCCUCUCGCCCCACCGGGCUGGGCGAGGGAGCGGGUGCACUCACCCCCUCACACACAUGGGAAUGGUAAGAGUCUUUCGGAAGGUGAAUGGGUCACAGUGGCUGGCUAGGGUUCCAUGGGCCAGCGGAGAGCGCUAUAUCCUUGGAGGGGACCUAGGGCAGAUCUAAGCCUCUCACCGUGGAGGAGGGCCUGUGACGGUGGGGGCGGGGGGGCAGAGCUCGGAGGGCCCCGCCCCGGCAUGGCAGGGGUCGUUGCUUGGCAAAGCGCCUCCAGAAAGAAGAUGGGAGAGAAACAGGGCCAGGGGCUGGGGGGCAGACGAGGACAGAGGGGCCAAGGGCCUGACGGGACCUUAGUCAAGCCAGCCAGCCAGCCCGCCUUGCCCGGGCUCGCACUGGCCGGAGGAGGCGGGGCAGAGGCGGGGACCCGUGAGGCGAGGGGCGCUGUGCGAUGCUCUGCUGCCACCGCGUGGGGCUAACGCUGGGGCUGGGUCCUUGGGCGGGAGCGGGAAGGCAGGGGAUGCGCCGCGAGGCGCUGCCCGGGCUGCCGCAGGGACCCCGCGGUGAAGGGGGGAGGGGCGGUUAUCCGCGGGCUAGUGCCCCUGCGCUACCAGCCAGCCGCGUGCCGGCAGCGGGAAGCGCGCAACCACCAGUGGCUUGGUGCCGCGCGCGCCGCUCAAAGCCUUGCGCACGAGGACGUAAUGCGCGCGCGCGCGCGCGACGCUCCCUCGCGGUGUUUCCUGCCCCUCCGGCUCCGCCCCUGCUGAAUGCCACAGACGACACUCCCAUUGGCUGAGCUGAGUGUCUGUCUGGUUCGGCCUGUCGGGGAGGCUGGCGCGCGGCCGGAGGACAAGGAGAUGGUGCGGUUCAAGCACAGGUACCUGCUGUGUGAGAUCAUCUCCGAAGACCCCCGCUGCCGGCAGUGCAUCGACGAGCGGGCGGUGAGCGCUGCGGCGAAGGAUGCGGUGGCCCGGACCCACGGGGACUACGGGCUGGCCUGCUGCUCCAUCUCCUUCACAGGUCUCCGCCUGCCCCUGCUCCCGGACCCCCUUUCUCGGGGGGACUGCGCGCACCCCAGAGACGGGGUCGGGGGUUGCCCAUCGGUCACUGGACGUAGAGCGCGGGGUGUUCGUUUCAGUGUCACACGGGUGAAAUAUCUCAAUGCCUAUACAGGCAUAGUUCUCUUACGUUGCCGAAAGGACUUCUACAGGCUCCUGUGGUCAGCUCUUCCCUUUGUCACUUACUUAGAGAACAGGAACCAGCGUUAUUCCUGUUUCUUCAACACACUACAUGUUGGAGGUAAGAUUUUCAAUAGGUUUUCUUUGGUGGCCUGUCUUACUAAUUCCUCCUAGUGCAGCAAGAUCUCAGAACUUUGAGAUCUUGAGUUUCUUAUUACUCUUGUAAUGAUUAGGAGGGAAAGAGCCCUCAGUUAUUUAAUGUUUUUCCAGUUAUAUGACAGAUGAAGCCCAUGUAAUGCCUCACUGAGGCUAGCAUAAACUCACUUUUAAUAGGUCAUCCAAAAGCAAAGACAUUCUUCAUUCUGCUAUGGACUCUAGAAGCUUUGCAGGUUUUUUCAUUAUGCUGAGUUAUUCACUCAUCUGUCCUCCAUUAUUCUGUUACUGCUUUAAAAACAAAGGCCCUCCUACUUUGCAGAUGUGACUUUAUUCUCUCAACUUCACUACUUACAGCAAAGAGCUAGCCACCCUGAUCACAUUUUGGUAAUCUGCCAUCGGGGAGCUGUUUUGAUCAAAUCUCAAGUGGAGGAAAGUGGUAACUGAGUCCCUGUCAAGAAGUUUCAAACAGGGAAAGAAGGCUGGAGGGAUAGGACAAUAAGAACAUGUCAGAAGUUCCUCAUUCAGUACAA